rnacentral:rRNA from 1 species
GAUGAACGCUGGCGGCGUGCCUAAUACAUGCAAGUCGAGCGAACGGACGAGAAGCUUGCUUCUCUGAUGUUAGCGGCGGACGGGUGAGUAACACGUGGAUAACCUACCUAUAAGACUGGGAUAACUUCGGGAAACCGGAGCUAAUACCGGAUAAUAUUUUGAACCGCAUGGUUCAAAAGUGAAAGACGGUCUUGCUGUCACUUAUAGAUGGAUCCGCGCUGCAUUAGCUAGUUGGUAAGGUAACGGCUUACCAAGGCAACGAUGCAUAGCCGACCUGAGAGGGGGAUCGGCCACACGGGAACUGAGACACGGUCCAGACUCUACGGGAGGCAGCAGUAGGGAAUCUUCCGCAAUGGGCGAAAGCCUGACGGAGCAACGCCGCGUGAGUGAUGAAGGUCUUCGGAUCGUAAAACUCUGUUAUUAGGGAAGAACAUAUGUGUAAGUAACUGUGCACAUCUUGACGGUACCUAAUCAGAAAGCCACGGCUAACUACGUG